UUUUGAAAUUUAUACAUGGGCCUAUUUGGCGGCGAGAUGUAUCUGGAUCGAAAUAAUUCAUGCAGAAAAUUAAACUAGGGCUUUGUGUGGCGUUUGAACAUUCAAGCCCAGCCCAUUAAUGGAGGAGGAGGAGGAGGGAGCUUUGACAGUUGACACGAUGACAGGGCGUGAAGGAGGCCGGGAUAGGGAAUGGCGUCGCCGCGAAUACUAACUCCGGCGGCCUUGUUUGGAAGAGAAUAAAAAUCUCGCUACCACUCCCAAAGCAUCUCCGUCGUGUUUGGGAGUCUUGAAGAUGAAUGCAAGUAACUGAAGAGUGAUGGGAGAUUAAAUUUUGCUCAAAACUAACUGGCAAGAACAAUUCCUGCAUUCAAGGCACUGCUUGCUUAGUUUGCAGUUGCAGAUAUGAAAGCUGUUUGGACAUAUGAAUGUCUUGUCUUCACCAGAAGCAUCAUCAAUUUUUCAGAAAAUGCCACUUCCGCACGUCUGUUUGUGUCCCCUCAAUUGAUAUACUAUGAUCUUCCAGCUCAUUGUGCUUUCUGAACCUCCCCUCUUUCUAAGUGCCUUGUCACCAUCUAUAUAAUGAAGCCGUCUUGAAGGUUGCUGUGAAUCUUAUCUCUCAAGAAUUAUAGAUACUGAUGGGGGAGAAACUGGUUGAACAGAGUUCAUAAACUGCCAGGGUUAGCCGACAAAAUGGAAGAUGUAAACCAGGGAUAAAAUAAUCUAUCCGGUCUACCUGCUUCAAGGAUGAUGUUAGAUGUGGCAAAUGGAUGAUGUGGUCCAUCUCCAUUUAUGAGAAAGAAUAUCAACUCUUGUGGCUUAAUAGUUGUGGAAACCGCCGAAAGCUGGAAAUUCCUCAAGUCACCUUUUGAUACAGAAGAUUGAUUUUGACGUUGAGGAAGUUAGAAUUGAGGGUUGUGUAACCUUUUGUGUAACACCACUACGAACCUUUCAAAGAUUCUUCAGCCACCCAUCUCAUCUGGUUUUUAUCUUCUUUUACUUUCUUUCUCCACUCACUGCAUGUUUCAUUGUUGUGGACACACGGAUCAUGCAUCAGCUUGUUGUGGCCCCGUGAGCCAAAUCUGCGGAUGAGCUGGGAAGAAGAGUGAGGAAAGAAAUGGACUUUCCAAGAAUUCAAGGGUCAUCCCCCAUUCCCCAAAAGAGAAUGUAAAGUUGGUCUGGUCUGGUCUGGUCUUGAUAAGCUUGUCAGAUGAUACAUUGAUGCAGACAAGUGAUUGGUUUUGGGCUGCCAAAUGCAACUCCCUUCCUCCCUCUAGCAUAGGCAACAGCACAAGAGCAUAGAAGAAAAGUUGAACACACAUAUCUCUUUCUGCCCACUUUUAAUUUGUGUCAGAUCUUGCUAACCUUGCCAUACAUACUUUGAUGAUGCAUACACCAAAUUAAUAUGUUGAGAGAGAGAGGGGUGUGUGAGGGAGGAGUCUUUUGGUUCUAAAUCAGGGGCCUAAUAAUGUUUCUCACUUUCUCUGUUGUUUCUAUCAAGUCAGAUAAGAGUUCAUUAAAAGGACGGUUGAAGAGAUUUAACAUGUCCUUGUUGCAGAGAUACUAAGCAACCCAAGGGAUCCUAGUUUUUUGUCCAAAACCCCCCCAUUUUAUUCCACAUCAAUUACUGAAUUAUUAUUGUUGUUGUUUUCUUUCCAGCACCCCAUUCUCCCUUGUACAAGACCUACAACACAAGUAGCUAUCAGCACUAGAAAUAGCCUUAUCUGGUCAAUGCAUAUUAACUGUUGUUAUGUCUUUCAUAUUCAUUGCCUGUAUUAUUGAGCCA